rfam:Oscillibacter sp. KLE 1745 genomic scaffold Scaffold306, whole genome shotgun sequence.
GAGCCGGUCUCGCGCAAUGGAUGCCCGCGAAUCAUGUCAGGCGGGGAACCGAGCAGCAUUAAGCGGGAUGUUCCAUGUGCCGCGAGGGCGCCGGUUCCGC